UACGGGGGGGGCAAGCGUUGUUCGGAAUUACUGGGCGUAAAGCGCGCGUAGGCGGCUUUGCAAGUCGAGUGUGAAAUCCCCAGGCUUAACCUGGGAACUGCAUUCGAGACUGCAUAGCUAGAGUAUGGGAGAGGGAAGUGGAAUUUCAGGUGUAGCGGUGAAAUGCGUAGAUAUCUGAAGGAACAUCAGUGGCGAAAGCGACUUCCUGGACCAAUACUGACGCUCAUGUGCGAAAGCGUGGGGAGCAAACAGG
rnacentral:rRNA from 1 species